rnacentral:rRNA from 1 species
AUGAACGCUAGCGACAGGCUUAACACAUGCAAGGUCGAGGGGUAACAGGGUAGCAAUACCGCUGACGACCGGCGCACGGGUGAGUAACGCGUAUGCAACCUGCCUAGUAACUGGGGGAAUAGCUCCCUGAAAGGGGAAUUAACACCGCAUAACACUAUUGAUUCGCAUGGAUUAGUAGUUAAAUGUAGCGAUACAGGUUAUAGAUGGGCAUGCGUGACAUUAGCUAGUUGGUGAGGUAACGGCUCACCAAGGCUACGAUGUCUAGGGGUUCUGAGAGGAAGGUCCCCCCACACUGGUACUGAGACACGGACCAGACUCCUACGGGAGGCAGCAGUGAGGAAUAUUGGUCAAUGGGCGCAAGCCUGAACCAGCCAUGUCGCGUGCAGGAAGACUGCCCUAUGGGUUGUAAACUGCUUUUAUAGCAGAAGAAACACAUCUACGCGUAGAUGUCUGCCAGUAUACUAUGAAUAAGCAUCGGCUAACUCCGUGCCAGCCGCCGC